rnacentral:lncRNA from 1 species
GUGCAAGGACAGCACCCCGCCGUGGCUCUGCAAGGUCAAGUGCGCCACUGGCUGCCCCUUGAGCGGCCCCGGCCACACCUUCAAUGGGAUACUCGUCUGCUUCGACGCCUGCAACUCGGACUCCAUCUGUGACCUGCCGGCGCCAUUGGCCAGUAAGACACGAGAACCACCUUGUCCGACUUACAUUCAUAGAAUAUGUGUUCAUUUCACAGAGGGAAACGGAAUCGUCUGUUCUGAUGAUCUUGGCCCUUUCUGCAGAUGCUGAGGUUUGUAAGCAUUGGUGCUUGGGCGCCAACUAACCUUGAAGAGCCAAGGGCCGGUCGGUCAUGGGAUCACAAAUUCACAAUCAGUCCAUAAAAUGGCUCUGAUUUCUGCACCAGUCAAUAAAAUGUGUUUCUCUUUGUGCAUCACUUGUGAGAGAAUUUGUUAAUCUUAAAAUAAAGUGUGACAAAUCCCUGUUUGUUUGACUCGGCUAUGAUUUUUCCUUCCUCUGUUCAGAUGACAAGGGCAAACUGUUUUAUCUUCU